GAUCUUUAUUUUUAUAAUUUAUAAAUUAAAUAGAAUUUUAUAAUUUAUAUUAAUAUUAAAAAUUUUAUUGGGGUGAUAUUAAAAUUUAAAAAACUUUUAAAAUUAAUAAACAUUAAUAUAUGAAUUGAUGAUCCAGUUAUAUUGAUUAAAAAUUUAAGUUACCUUAGGGAUAACAGCGUAAUUUUUUUUUAGAGUUCAUAUCGAUAAAAAAGAUUGC
rnacentral:rRNA from 1 species